rnacentral:rRNA from 1 species
GAAUAUUGGUCAAUGGACGAGAGUCUGAACCAGCCAAGUAGCGUGAAGGAUGACUGCCCUAUGGGUUGUAAACUUCUUUUAUAUGGGAAUAAAGUAUUCCACGUGUGGGAUUUUGUAUGUACCAUAUGAAUAAGGAUCGGCUAACUCCGUGCCAGCAGCCGCGGUAAUACGGAGGAUCCGAGCGUUAUCCGGAUUUAUUGGGUUUAAAGGGAGCGUAGGUGGAUUGUUAAGUCAGUUGUGAAAGUUUGCGGCUCAACCGUAAAAUUGCAGUUGAAACUGGCAGUCUUGAGUACAGUAGAGGUGGGCGGAAUUCGUGGUGUAGCGGUGAAAUGCUUAGAUAUCACGAAGAACUCCGAUUGCGAAGGCAGCUCACUAGACUGCAACUGACACUGAUGCUCGAAAGUGUGGGUAUCAAACAGGAUUAGAUACCCUGGUAGUCCACACAGUAAACGAUGAAUACUCGCUGUUUGCGAUAUACAGUAAGCGGCCAAGCGAAAGCAUUAAGUAUUCCACCUGGGGAGUACGCCGGCAACGGUGAAACUCAAAGGAAUUGACGGGGGCCCGCACAAGCGGAGGAACAUGUGGUUUAAUUCGAUGAUACGCGAGGAACCUUACCCGGGCUUAAAUUGCAGAUGAAUUACGGUGAAAGCCGUAAGCCGCAAGGCAUCUGUGAAGGUGCUGCAUGGUUGUCGUCAGCUCGUGCCGUGAGGUGUCGGCUUAAGUGCCAUAACGAGCGCAACCCUUGUUGUCAGUUACUAACAGGUUCCGCUGAGGACUCUGACAAGACUGCCAUCGUAAGAUGUGAGGAAGGUGGGGAUGACGUCAAAUCAGCACGGCCCUUACGUCCGGGGCUACACACGUGUUACAAUGGGGGGUACAGAGGGCCGCUACCACGCGAGUGGAUGCCAAUCCCCAAAACCUCUCUCAGUUCGGACUGGAGUCUGCAACCCGACUCCACGAAGCUGGAUUCGCUAGUAAUCGCGCAUCAGCCACGGCGCGGUGAAUACGUUCCCG